AGUGUCGUAUUUAAUAAAUCAUGUUUCCAAGUGCUUUUAUGCCAAGGUACGAGUUCCCUAAGGAAGUAUUAUGUCGUACUUUACGUACUCCGACUUCUACGUACGUCUGCUGUAUUUUGGUUCACAACAAGUUUUGUUUUGGAUUUAAAAACUUCUUUAAAAUGGCUCCAUAUACGGGGUUCGGCAAAUCCUCAACAAAUCGAAACCGUUCUCAAUUUCCUGGACGAACAUAGAGAUUUAGCUCGCGGGAGAUUGAAUAGUUGAACCCAGCCAGGAAGAUAACCUGAGAGUCCAGCUGUAAAAGCUGCCUAAGUACCACCACCAUUGACACAAAAAUGCCGACUUUCACACCUUCCUCUCGACAUACACACUCUACAAGGAGACUGCCUACUACUAGGAGAUUACAGAGGAUGUGCCAGCACAGGUGUAAGAAGCAGAUUGUAUCAAUAUGAAGAGGAGCGUGCACAGAGAGAGACGGUGCAAAACGCAGAGCUUGCAGGCAUCAGGGGCGAAUUGGCAGGCAUCAGUCCUACCCUGUUGCAGCUGCAUAACACAAUAAGGGAAUAUGUGGAUAGGAAUUAAGAUUUUGUUAGUGUUUUGUUAGUCAUUAAUUGUGUUUAAUAUUUCUUUGUUAUUAAUUUGUAAUGUUUAAACAGGGUAAUAGUAAAUAAAACUUUAAGCAUA